ACUCACAAUGUUUUCAAAGUGAACUGAUUCAAACAAGCAUCCUGAAUACCAGCGCAGGGCGCUUGUUUGAAGCAGUUCACUUUGAAAACAUUGUGAGUGAUGGACCCUUGAUGAAAUUGCGGUAACAAGAAUGCAUAAUUACAUACAGAGUAAUGUGCAGCCAAAACAUUUGUAGGUCAGAGUUAUAUAUGCUGUAGAAAACUUUAAUAAAACUGUUUUGGAUGUGAUUAAAUCUCUACUUUCCUCUUCGUUAUCAAAUAUUUACUCUAUGGAAUAUUUGUAGUUCUGAAUAGGAGCAUGGACUACUCAACAAAUGAAGCUUACCAGUAUCUCUUUUAAUCUUGAGUACUAUUUAAUGGACCAUUGUGGAUAGCAGACGUCUAUACCAAUUUGUGAGAUGAUAUGGUAUCUGCGAGGAUAACUUAUCCCUUUUAUACUCUCUCUCAUAACUUCAAGCCAAUAAGGCCACUGAACCUGACAAUGUUUCUUCCAUUACCCAUAACUAGUGUGCACCAGAUCAAGCUGCUAACUUCAUCAAACUAUUCAAUCUCUUUCUCUUGAGGGAUAUGGCUCAAUCUUUUGGAACAUACCCAUUCAGUGUGUUCUGUCUUCAAGAAGGGAAAUCCUUCUAACCUUGCCAAUCAUCAUAUUAGCCUACUCGCAAUAUCUCAAACUGAUGGGAACAGCAUUUAACAAUAACCGCUAAUACCUUGAGUUUUUCUUCAGAACAGAAUUGGCAUGAGAUGCUUAGGUUUCAUGUAGAUGAUUCUUAGGUAUAGGAGUCCAUAAUUGGGAAAAGUCUUUGAAAGAAUUUAUUUUAUGGGUGUUUUAACAACUCCUGUCUUUUGCUAUUUUGAAAGUUUUUAUGUUUCAUCAACAUGACUGUGAUCUUUCCACAUCUCUUGUGGAUCUAUAGUUUACAUUUGCUACACAAUACAGUUUCUACCUACACCUUGCAUACUAAGCAUAGUCACCUCCUGUUAUUGUAUGCUGUUUGUUAUUUUCUUUUAUAUGAAAACUAUCAUGCAACUUAUAUUUUCAAAGUGUCUUCUCCAGUAUAUAUUGAACUUGUUUCAUUUUUAUUGGGUUGGUCUGGAGCAGAGACAUAACUAGGGUUUCUUCCACCAGGGGUUGAUCUUUGAGUUUGUAAACCCAACUCCAUAAAAAUAGAACACAAUUCACAUUAAAGUGCUCCCAUACUAAAUUCAUGCCAUUAACCUACAAGUCAUGAAAUAACUAUUUAAACAAAUUUAUUUAAAUACUUAUUUAUUCUAAAUAAUCUAUUUGCAAUAUAUUUCAUCUUAAGGCUAGUAAAAUUUUAGAUGUAUUAAAAACAUAAUGCUAAUAACUGCAACUAAAAGUGGCUUUCUAUUAUAGUAGCAAGGUGAAUGUGGCAACUAAAAAGUGGUAGCUAUAUUAUAACCAUAAAAAGUGAAGUUAGUAAAUAGUUGUAGGUAGCUAAUCAAAGAUGAGUUACUUGGACUUUCUCUAUACUAAUUUACAGUCAAAGUGUACUGGUUAUCUCCUUUUUACUUUCCAUUUAACAAACUCUCUUUAUCUGUGAUAUACUGUCAUUGUAAGUCGCAUUAUUUUUAUAAAAUAUUCAACUACACUUAAUAUUGAUUAUAUUUCAGUAUAAAAUGUUGAAAAUUAUAAACCAUAUCUUCAAAAUUCUUCCUAUUAUAGGCAUAAGGCCUGAAACUUGGGGAGAGGGAGGCAAUCAAUUAGAUCGACUCCACUACGCAACUGGCACUUAAUUUAUCGACCCUGAAAGGAUGAAAGGCAAAGUUGACAACAGCGAAAUCUGAACUCAGAAUGUAGCUAUGUGCAAAAUAAACCGCAUCUUUAAAGAUGACAACACAUCAUGGUACAGAUAAUUGUACAGUGUUUACUCCAAUUAUGCUCUAAUAGUUGUCUGCAUUGGCAAAAGCAUCAGUGAUCAACAAAAUAGCACAAAACCCGAAAUAUUAGGGGAAGAGGCCAGUCAAUUAAAUCAAUGCUUGGUGUUCAAUUGGUGCUUAUAUUAUUGGCCCCAAAUGCAUGAAAGGUAAAGUCAACCUUGGUGGAAUUUGAACUUGGAACAUAAAGCUGGAAAAAAAACCGUUUAAUAAGUAUUUUGCUUGGUUUGGUAAUUAUUCUGUCAGCUUGCCACUUUUGAAACUCUUAAUGACAUGAAAGAACAAGUAUCAAACACCUUAAUCAAUUUUAUAAAUGGAUGUAACAAAUCAAAUAUUAUUUAAUGUUUACUGGUAAUUAUACACCGACUAUUUAUCAAUGAUAUUAGUAUUGCAGAAAUCUAUAUUUCCUACAGAUUAACUGGCAAGCACUUCAACAUCUACACUACAAGUGCUCUGCUAAAUUAGAGCUAUCAAAAAAAGAUCAUCAGAGAUCAACUAAAUGUAAAAAACUGUGACUUCAUUAGUACACUAAUGAGAGAACAUGCAUAAUUAUAAACAGUUUCCUA
rnacentral:lncRNA from 1 species